rnacentral:tRNA from 1 species
GGCGAGGUAGCAAAAUGGUUAUGCAGCGGAUUGCAAAUCCGUCUAUGCCGGUUCGAUUCCGGCCCUCGCCU